rnacentral:rRNA from 1 species
AACUACCCAUAGUAUGUGAGAAUGGCAUCAUUUUCACAUUAAAGUCACAACGGCAAAAGAUGAGCAUGCGUCCCAUUAGCUUGUUGGUAAGGUAACGGCUUACCAAGGCUACGAUGGGUAGGGGUCCUGAGAGGGAGAUCCCCCACACUGGUACUGAGACACGGACCAGACUCCUACGGGAGGCAGCAGUGAGGAAUAUUGGACAAUGGGCGCAAGCCUGAUCCAGCCAUGCCGCGUGCAGGAUGACGGUCCUAUGGAUUGUAAACUGCUUUUGUACAGGAAGAAACACUGGUUCGUGAACCAGCUUGACGGUACUGUAAGAAUAAGGAUCGGCUAACUCCGUG